CAGCACGUGGUUGGCAGUUGAUCAAGAGAACCCCAAUAGAACUUUCAAGCAAGGAAAUUGCAUUACGUAGCAUAAACAGCAUUAUGGUAUCGAAUGGUUUCUCAGAAUUUUGGCUAAACAAGUCUUUGGUGUUUUGGCCAAGUGCCAAAGCAUUGCAUUUGAUAGUCAACCGAAUGCAGCUUAAAUAUUAACAACCGCACACAAAGUAGGUAACAUAUGUGGUAGAAAAGAAAAUGGCGUAGUUGUGCACUUCUUUUUUUCCAACAUUGGAUCUUUUAACCUUUCCAUUCCAAGGUCUACUUUGCAAGGAUUGAAAGUAUGGUGAGGUAAAUGUACUAGCAUGAAGCCUUGAUGGACUACUUUUAUACAUAGGUAAUAAGACAUUUCACAGUCAUAUUAUAAUUUAAUAAGAUGUCAAACCAUUCGUGCCAAGUGAGAGAGUUACAAGGUCUUUUGAAUCUCAAGUUUCUAACAUAUUGUUCGACUUGCUUGAUUUGUGGGAUUUAUCCGAUUAACAUUGUUUGACAAAUUUUAUUACCACCUUUUGUCUGGGAAAGUUUGGUUUUAGAAAGAAGAGAGGAAUUAGCAACUUUGGUCUGAAGCAAAAGUAGCUGUUUGGACAGAGGCUGGAGCAGCAAUUGAUGAGUUAAAAUCUGUUUCUACUUGGUGUGAACCAGAAACUUGGGUGGAUACAAAUUGACCAACUGACGCGACUCUUGUCGUCUCAGACUUGGCAGAAACUACUGAAUACCCCAGACUCGUUUUUGGGCGUUAUGAUACCUUUGCUUGGUGGUUGUUUCUGCGUAGGAGACGAGGUCGUGUUUGUUUCACAGACAUAAGGAUACUUUUCUUCCCAUAAACUUUGUCCCUUUACGGCAUGACUUCAAAGUCAGACUGUGCUGAAUCACCCGGGGCUGGGAUCGCCUGGGCAAUGCCUUUGGUCAUUUUCAAGGGUAAUUUAAAAUCUGGUUACACAGACAACAGCAUUUCAACCGCAAACAGAAGAAUGUGCCAACGACAUCAGGACAUCCUAGCUGUUUUUAGUGCUCUGAUUCCUUUGAUAAUCGGCCGACAUGAUUUGAUUAUGUUGGUAUCUUCGUUGGCCGACGACUGGAAAUUUCUUGUGUGUAGGGUGUGGCGGGUGACAUUCUCAAUGCUCCUCGAUGCUAUUUCGCAAAAAUAUUGCUGUCAACAUUAACUACGUUAACGCACGCGUGCACACAACCAACGAACUUGGCGCUCAUAGUCUUCCCAAGUUUCAUUCCCUGCGUCACAGAAAGCGAGCCCAUUUGAUUUCUGGUACCAUCAGCAUAACCAGAGGGAGCAAGACGCUGGAAUGGUGUGAGCGACCUGCCCCAGGAUGAAUGCUGGAUAUUAUUGCACGACCCAUCCAGCGUUCGGUAACGAGAGUCGAUUGUUGUUUGAUUACAAACGGAAUCCGUGGGGCACAUCUUAGAUAAAAUCGUGUCCUUCAAAUUAAAUUGGUUCAAUGCCAGCGUCACAUUCUCAGGACUAGAUGAGUAAAAACCUUUUGACAAUUUCACUGGCUGUAUAAGCUCCGAUGAUUGCCUCUCGGCUGAUUUUUUGUUGAUUUGCUGAUUCUGCAGUUGUUGCAAAAACAAGUGCGUGAAUAGCACGAGACGAACCAGAGGCGGCCCGUAACCUUUGAAAAUUAGGAAGAUCUGGACAGCAAGCUCCUGGAUUUCCAUCUGAUAGUUUACACGCUGUUCCCGGAAUAGUUAGAAUCUGAUCGUACCAAACAGCACAGUCUUUGAUUGGACGGCAUUCUGACGGUAAAUCGUCAAUUUUGGGACAAGUGGCUAUGGAAUCGUUAAAAUUCCUGUAAGGAACAAAGCCACACAUGCCGCUGUUGAUGGGUGUCCGGGGAGUCGAUAAAGGAGCUUUCUUCAAAUAGCAAAAUCCUUCGUGAAGACGGAAAUGAUUACACUCGGGGUUAGCGACGCAGAGGCCGCCACAUAGUUCUCCAGUGCUCGCUAUUUUCCCGAUAUCAUGGCCGAAAAAAUCGCAAUUCAAAAGCCACUUGACUCCAUCCCCACCGGGGUUCCAAUGGUCUCGAUCUGACAAAAGGGAAUAUAACCGCAAACUCCCCCGUUGGUUGGUGUGCGAACAGUUGUUAUUGGUGCCGCUUUCAUGUAACAAAAUCCGUCAAAGUAGCGAAAGUGGGUACAUGGGCGCAUAGCGAUGCAAAUGUUACUGCAGUCUUCUCCGGAACUCGCGAUUUUAUGAAUGUCAUUGCCGUUAAAAUCGCAAUUUAUUUGCCAUUUGAUGUCACUGCCGCCAAUUCUCCAGUCGUUCCCUGUGGACAUUACAGGGAAGAAACCCACAUACUCCACCACUAUGCGAUGCACGGGAAACCCCGAUAGAUGGAUUCUUUAAGUAACAGAAUCCAUCGUCGGAAUAAUGAAAAUGGGAGCACCUUGUAUUUGCAAUGCAAUGUCCACCGCAUUGUUCUCCCGUACUCGCCAAUCGUCGAAUAUCAUUACCAAAAAAAUCGCAGUUAAAUUGCCAUUUGACUCCACCUUCUCCAGUGUUCCAGUCUUCCGCAUCUUGUUCAAUCGAUUGAAUUUGCGAGUUAUUCUCAGCGUUUACAUGAAAGUUCCUAAUUUGAAUUUGCGUGUCAUUCUCAACGUUUGCAUGAACACUCCAAAUUAAAACAUACAACAUCCAGAUGGCCUUGAAUAGAAUUCAUCCCUUUUCAUGGCGCUGGAGUUGUUGAUCGUCAACCGGAGACGACUAGAAGAUGGUCACGCUUUUACUGCAGUGCAGGUAAUGCUUUGAAAAGUAUUUUCGGGGCUUCUUAUAGUUUCAUACGUGAAGGUUCGCCUUUUUCAAGGCCAUGACGGGGGGUUGUCAACUCGAAAAAAUAUUCGUACACCCCAAUAAUUUUAAGCAAAAAAUACGAAAAAUACAAAGAAAUAAAAAAAAAUA
rnacentral:lncRNA from 1 species